UCGCAUCAGGGAUAGUAGCGGCAUCCUUUUAUUUCUCUUGUUUUUUUAACGAGAGGAAUAAAAGAUACAGCGAAUAGCCCGACUUCAC
rnacentral:sRNA from 1 species